UCUAUGUCUUUCUGUCUGUCUUUUGGUUGUUUUUGAUCAUCUUGGUUGCUAUUUUUAAUGUGGCAUAGAUAGGUAGCCAACUAGUUAGGACUACGGAUCCUGACAGAGAAGCAGCUAGUUAGGUCUUCGGAGCCGGAAGCUCCACCCUUAACUGUCAAUCAAAACUUCCGUUUUCUGGUAGCGCACCUGUUACCUGUAGGCCUAGGUCGCAGAGGCUUUAAGAGGAGUGGGAGUGACCUGGAUGCUGAGGUCCUGAGCCCAUCAUGGGUUCAGCGAGUGAGCCAGAUCACCUGCUCCGUCACCCUUCUGCGGACUGAUUCCACACCAAGUCAUCCAUCACAAACACCACCAGCCCGGAAGAAAGCUCCCAGUUCUUCAUCUCUACAGAAAGAUAAAGUUAAUAAAAGAAAUGAACAUGGUGAAACUCGUUCACACAUGACAGCUAUUCAAGGAGAUGUGAAGCAAUCAAAGAAUUAAUAAGUUUAGAGGCAAAUGUGAAUGUGAAAGAUUUUGCAGGGUGCGGCACAACCAAUAUGGACCCCCGAGAGAAGAAUUCGCUUGGUGAACCUACCAGCAGAGGAGCUAGAAGAAAAUACGCCAUUUGAGGAAGGAAACAAUGAAUAACCAAUCCCUGGGAUCCUUGGAAUAUGGGACAUUUUCAAUGAACCCUGAAGUACCAUGAUAAACAAGACAGUCAAUAGCAUGAAGAUCACGCCAAAUUUUAUACAGGCUGCGAACGUGUAAUGUUGAAGCUGCUUCAACGACAACGGCAGUCAGAGGUUGUCAUCAAACAGGUGAUGAGCAUGUUGAACCGAUAGUCAAAAGACAGUCUGAUGACAGUAAAACUUCUGUAAGGAAUCGCUUUAAUGCAAGACAGUUCAUGUCUUGGUUACAAGAUGUGGAUGAUAAAUUUGACAAAUUAAAGACCUGUCUUUUAAUGAGGCAACAACACGAAGCUGCAGCUUUAAAUGCUGUCCAGAGAUUGGAAUGGCAGCUCAAACUCCAGGAGCUUGAUCCUGCCACCUAUAAAUCUAUCAGCAUCUACGAAAUCCAGGAGUUCUAUGUUCCCCUCGUUGAUGUUAAUGAUGACUUUGAAUUGACUCCAAUAUAGCGGUGGUUGUUUCCUGCUGGCGUUGUCCUGACCGGAUGUGCUCCAAGUGCUACACUGUGGAAUACUGCCUUUUGACGCAAAUACUGGUGUUACGCCUUUGAAUUGGUUCAGUUGAAGUUGGUUGUGUAGUCAACCCACUGUCACUUGAUGAGAAAUAAGGCUUAUUUUGGAUCUGAGGUCCAAACACAGUUUCUAGCGGGAAACUGUUCCUUAUGUUGGUGAAAGGUAACAGUUGCAUUAGAGCAUGUUGGCAGACUGUGGCAGGCAUUGAAAAUGCGAAGAAUCUGCUAACAGCGCUGGAAGUUGUUAGCUCUCUCAUGUGAAGAGAUGACCACUGGUGUUCAGCUCUCUUUCAGGUUUUAUUGAGAAGAUAUCCGUAAACUACAAGGCUUAAUUUCUACCAAAUAGUUUCUAAUGUGGAAGAAAAACUUGGCACAAAAUUUCUUGAGUUUAAUACAUCUGUAAAUUAAUUGUACAUUUUCUUUUUGAAAGUUUUACUAUUGUCUUCCUUUUUAAUAACUUAUUUUAUACAUAUUGUGCAGAUGUAAAUCUUGUAAUUAAAGGUCACAGUGUAUCCAAAGGGAUUGGUAGUGAGAGCGUGUACAGAGAAAUAACUGUAAACUGUGUCGUCCCCUGUUUUAUUGGACCAAAGUCGUGGUUUGUGUGGAGCGCAGUAGUAGUGUGUUCAGGUAGCAGAGCUUCAGAAAGCAUGCAUGUGUUUGAGUUAGCUUGUUUUCCUCACCAUAGCUGUAAGAGUCGUGACUUGGUUGUACCGCAUGCUUCGGUAAUUUAACUCUCUCCAUAACUGAUGCCUGGAGCAGUGUAAGGCGUUUCAUGCUCGUCUCCUGUGGUAGAGCUUGUGACUUACUGUGUUGGACCUAUUAUUUAGAAUUAGUCAGACAGAGAAACUUAGCUCUUUUCUCAUCUCACAGUAGAGCCUGUUUUCCCCCAGGGGAAAAAAAUGCCUUUGAAUGAAAAUUCUAAAAUUGUAAAUGUCUAUUUUAAUACUCAGCAAUGAAUGAAUCUGUGAAUAUAUGUAAAUAUGUUUAAUAAAUUUUAUUGGUCAUGUUAUAUCAUUGUAAAACUUUUUUACAUUGCUUAAAUUUAAAGUUUUAAGCUUAAUAACCUUUGCACUUUUAAAAUAAAAACUGAGUACUAGGAUCAAAAAAGUUAUUUGAUGUCAAAAUAAGUAAAAGAAAUUAGGAAUAUUCCAAUUGAUCUCUGAAAUGUUUAUGGAAAGUUAAUUAACAUGUAUUUUUCCUUGUAUCAAGAUGCAAAACAUAUAAUUUGCAAAAUUUUAUACUUGCAAUAAGACUUGGUAUGCUAUUUUAUAAUAAAAUAAUUAGCAAUAUACUUAGAAAAAGUCCGGUUUCUCCUGUAACAUGAUAUAGAUGAAAUAUUCAGGACUAUUUCAGAUCUGGCACCUGCUGCAGGACUUGUUCAGCAUUUUUGAACGGAAAAUGAAGUUAAUGUAAAAUUCAUCAUAAGUAUAUGAGAUAAAAUUUAAGAAACUUUCCACAAACCUUUCUUGAAUUCUGCUUUUAUUCUGAUAGAGAAAAGUGAAGAGAAGAUAUAAGGGGUGACGUGACUGAAAUUCACUAGCAAAUUGGCUGUCCCAGAUCAUGGGAGAGAAUCUUGAAGUUUUUGAGUGCAAAGGUACAUAUUAAGCUUAGGGAUAUUGAAAUUUUUACAUUAAUUUAUAUUUUAAUUCUUUUUAUUUUAAUUCUUACUGUACUUGGCAUGCGCAAUAAAGCAGCACGUGUAAAAACUACACAGUGCAAGGACUUUAUCAUAAAGGUUGCUGUAGUUUCCUUUAGAGUUUAGGUGAGAGAUUUUUGGCCCUUUUUGUUGGAUAAAUGGGCCAGAAAGGCAGAGUAGAUUUUGAAGCACUGGUUUUGUUGAAGUUGAGUUUUAAUUAAAACUGGGAACGUGGAAAGCUAAUUUAUAAAAGCAAUACUUUUUUUUAACUUUUAUUUAAUGAAUACAAAUUUCCAAAGUACGGCUUAUGGAUUACAAUGGCUUCCCCCCCAUAACAUGCCUCCCACCCGCAACCCUCCCCUUUCCCACUCCCUCUCCCCUUCCAAUCACAUCAAGAUUCAUUUUCGAUUCUCUUUAUAUACAGAAGAUCAGUUUAGCAUACAGUAAGUAAAGAUUUCAACAGUUUGCUCCCACACAGAAACAUAAAGUGAAAAAUAAUAUAUGAUUUUUUAAAUGAUGAUGAAAUCAGAUCAGAGCUAUUGUCAUGUUUAAUCCCAGUGAGAGUCAAGUUGGGAAUUGAUAAUUUCUUCUUCUUCUUCUUCUUCUUCUUCUUCUUCUUCUUCUUCUUCUUCUUCUUCUUCUUUUUUUUACAGAAGAUCAGUUUAGUAUACAUUAAGUAAAGAUUUCAACAGUUUGCACCCCCAUAGAAACACAAAGUGAAAUAUACUGUUUGAGUACUCGUUAUAGCAUUAAGUCUCAAUGUACAGCACAUUAAGGACGGAGAUCCUACAUGAGGAGUAAGUGCACAGUGACUCCUGUUGUUGACUUUACAAAUUGACACUCUUGUUUAUGGCAUAAGUAAUCUCCCUAUGCUCCAGUCAUGAGUUUUCAAGGCUAUGGAAGCCCCUUGCGUUCUCUGACUCUUAUGUUGUUUAGACAAGGUCAUAGUCAAAGUGGAGGUUCUCUCCUCCCUUCAGAGAAAGGUACCUCCUUCUUUGAAGACCUGUUCUUUCCACUGGGAUCUCACAGAGAUCUUUCAUUUAGGGUUUGUUUUUUGUUUUUUGUUUUUUGUUUUUUUUUUUUUUUUUUGCCAGAGUGUCUUGGCUUUCCAUGCCUGAAAUACUCUCAUGGGCUUUUCAGCCAGAUUGGAAUGCCUUUAGGGCUGAUUCUGAGGCCAGAGUGCUGUUUAGGACAUCCGCCAUUCUAUGAGUCUGCUGAGUAUCUCGUAAAAGCAAUACUUUUAAUGCAAAAAAAUGUAAUGCAAACUUUGUUUCUACUUUUGCCUCAAAAGGAAAUUUGAUGGGAUAGUGUGGCAAAUCGUAAAAGUCAAAAACCAGAUUAUUGAGCCUUGAAGUUGUAGAAAAUAAGAGGGGUAAGUUUCCCGAGCCUUCCUUCUGCUGGUCCACUCAGGAGAGGGGAGGGGCGGGGCGGGGCGGGGCUGUCACUGUCACUGUUUGGCCGAACAAAACAGGCUCCCCCAGAGACAAGGGAGCAGGCGAGAAUCUGGUGAGCUUUAGCUGCGCCAGCUUUGCCGUCUUACCCAGGUCUCGCUCUUGAGUGGUGCCUCAGAAAGCUGGAGCCUCCUGCCUGGGCCCACCCAUCUCCUUGGUCAGGUAACUCGGAGCUAAAGGGGACAGCUUCAAGUUACUGCCUUCUCAUUGGACAUGUCUAAUCACCGAAGUUGCUGAGGGCUUCUGACAUGGAAGAUAAUCUAAAACCCUGAAAUGCUAGGGAAAACGUGGAAUGGGCCGUAUACCUAAAAAGGUUAUAGGUUCUGAAAGAAAAACAAAAGUGGUUAGUUUAAUCAGUGAUUCUUUUUAAACUAUUCAAAUAUCAUGAACAAGAUACUAAAUUGUACCUAAGGAUUUGUAUUUCUUUGAAUCUUGUUCUAAAUCAUAUCUGUUUAAUAAAUGACUAGUUGAUAUUUGUGCAUGUUAUUUAAUAAAGAGUUAUAUUUUUAUAGAAAAAAUAA